rnacentral:rRNA from 1 species
AAAUCGUUCGACGAGGAUCUAUUGGAGGGCAAGUCUGGUGCCAGCAGCCGCGGUAAUUCCAGCUCCAAUAGCGUAUAUUAAAGUUGUUGCAGUUAAAAAGCUCGUAGUUGGAUCUGGGGUUCGGGUCGGCGGUUUGCCGCUUCGGCGGCUACUGCCGUGCUCGACUCUUACUAGCCGGUGCGUCUUGCGGUGCUCUUCAUCGAGUGCCGUAGGAGCCUGGCGUGUUUACUUUGAAAAAAAUUAGAGUGCUCAAAGCAGGCGAUUCCGCCUGAAUAGUGUUGCAUGGAAUAAUGGAAUAGGACCUCGGUUCUAUUUUGUUGGUUUUCGGAACUUGAGGUAAUGAUUAAGAGGGACGGUCGGGGGCAUUCGUAUUUCGGUGUUAGAGGUGAAAUUCUUGGAUCGCUGAAAGACGGACAAAUGCGAAAGCAUCUGCCAAGAACGUCUCCAUUAAUCAAGAACGAAAGUCAGAGGUUCGAAGACGAUCAGACACCGUCCUAGUUCUGACCAUAAACGAUGCCAACUAGCGAUCCGCAGUGGUUGCUAUAAACGGACUCUGCGAGCAGCUUCCGGGAAACCAAAGUGUUUGGGUUCCGGGGGAAGUAUGGUUGCAAAGCUGAAACUUAAAGGAAUUGACGGAAGGGCACCACCAGGAGUGGAGCCUGCGGCUUAAUUUGACCCAACACGGGGAAACUCACCCGGUCCGGACACUGUAAGGAUUGACAGAUCGAGAGCUCUUUCUUGAUUCGGUGGAUGGUGGUGCAUGGCCGUUCUUAGUUGGUGGAGUGAUUUGUCUGGUUAAUUCCGAUAACGAACGAGACUCUAGCCUGCUAACUAGUUGCGCCGUGUUCAUACGCGGCUGUAGACUUCUUAGAGGGACAGGUGGCGUUUAGCCACACGAAAUUGAGCAAUAACAGGUCUGUGAUGCCCUUAGAUGUCCGGGGCCGCACGCGCGCUACACUGAAGGAGUCAGCGUGUGCUAUCCGGGCCCGGAAGAGUUCGGUAACCCGUUGAAACUCCUUCGUGCUUGGGAUUGUGGCUUGUAAUUAUCGCGCAUGAACGAGGAAUUCCCAGUAAGUGCAAGUCAUCAGCUUGCGCUGACUACGUCCCUGCCCUUUGUACACACCGCCCGUCGCUACUACCGAUUGAAUGGUUUAGCAAGGUACUCGGAUUGGUCUCGAUCUUGUACGAAAGUGCGGGAUCUGUGGCCGAGAAGAAGGCCAAACUUGAUCAUUUAGAGGAAGUAAA